GGUGAGAUGGCCGAGCGGUCCAAGGCGCCAGACUAAGGUUCCCGCAGUGGUUCGCGAAAACUCAUACAAUCUGGUCUCUUCGGGGGCGGGAGUUCGAAUCUCCCUCUCAUCA